rnacentral:tRNA from 2 species
UCUCCUAUAGCUCAGUUGAUAGAGCGUGCAGUUGGUAGAGCGUGCGGCUGUUAACCUCAAGGUCGCUGGUUCAAACCCAGCUGGGAGAG